rnacentral:rRNA from 1 species
AUACGGAGGGUGCAAGCGUUAUUCGGAAUCACUGGGCGUAAAGGACGCGUAGGCGGGAAGCCAAGUCUGAUGUGAAAUCCUAUGGCUUAACCAUAGAACUGCAUUGGAAACUGGUUACCUAGAGUAUGGGAGGGGGAGAUGGAAUUAGUGGUGUAGGGGUAAAAUCCGUAGAUACCACUAGGAAUACCGAAAGCGAAGGCGAUCUCCUGGAACAAUACUGACGCUAAGGCGUGAAAGCGUGGGGAGCAAACGUGAUUAGAAACCCUAGUAGUCC